rnacentral:rRNA from 1 species
GAUGAACGCUAGCUACAGGCUUAACACAUGCAAGUCGAGGGGCAGCAUUUUAGUUUGCUUGCAAACUGAAGAUGGCGACCGGCGCACGGGUGAGUAACACGUAUCCAACCUGCCGAUAACUCCGGGAUAGCCUUUCGAAAGAAAGAUUAAUACCGGAUAGUAUACGAAUAUCGCAUGAUAUUUUUAUUAAAGAAUUUCGGUUAUCGAUGGGGAUGCGUUCCAUUAGUUUGUUGGCGGGGUAACGGCCCACCAAGACUACGAUGGAUAGGGGUUCUGAGAGGAAGGUCCCCCACAUUGGAACUGAGACACGGUCCAAACUCCUACGGGAGGCAGCAGUGAGGAAUAUUGGUCAAUGGGCGCGAGCCUGAACCAGCCAAGUAGCGUGAAGGAUGAAGGCUCUAUGGGUCGUAAACUUCUUUUAUAUGGGAAUAAAGUUUUCCACGUGUGGAAUUUUGUAUGUACCAUAUGAAUAAGGAUCGGCUAACUCCGUGCCAGCAGCCGCGGUAAUACGGAGGAUCCGAGCGUUAUCCGGACUUAUUGGGUUUAAAGGGAGCGUAGGUGGAUUGUUAAGUCAGUUGUGAAAGUUUGCGGCUCAACCGUAAAAUUGCAGUUGAAACUGGCAGUCUUGAGUACAGUAGAGGUGGGCGGAAUUCGUGGUGUAGCGGUGAAAUGCUUAGAUAUCACGAAGAACUCCGAUUGCGAAGGCAGCUCACUAGACUGUCACUGACACUGAUGCUCGAAAGUGUGGGUAUCAAACAGGAUUAGAUACCCUGGUAGUCCACACAGUAAACGAUGAAUACUCGCUGUUUGCGAUAUACAGCAAGCGGCCAAGCGAAAGCAUUAAGUAUUCCACCUGGGGAGUACGCCGGCAACGGUGAAACUCAAAGGAAUUGACGGGGGCCCGCACAAGCGGAGGAACAUGUGGUUUAAUUCGAUGAUACGCGAGGAACCUUACCCGGGCUUAAAUUGCAACAGAAUAUAUUGGAAACAGUAUAGCCGUAAGGCUGUUGUGAAGGUGCUGCAUGGUUGUCGUCAGCUCGUGCCGUGAGGUGUCGGCUUAAGUGCCAUAACGAGCGCAACCCUUAUCUUUAGUUACUAACAGGUCAUGCUGAGGACUCUAGAGAGACUGCCGUCGUAAGAUGUGAGGAGGGUGGGGAGGACGUCAAAUCAGCACGGCCCCUACGUCCGGGGCUACACACGUGUUACAAUGGGGGGUACAGAAGGCGGCUACCUGGUGACAGGAUGCUAAUCCCAAAAACCUCUCUCAGUUCGGAUCGAAGUCUGCAACCCGACUUCGUGAAGCUGGAUUCGCUAGUAAUCGCGCAUCAGCCAUGGCGCGGUGAAUAAAAUCCCGGGCCUUGCACA